rnacentral:lncRNA from 1 species
UGAAAUCCGAGUGUAACACCUAAAAACCUUCCCUUGUAAGACUGAUGUCUCUCGCAGAUAAAUAUCACGAAUCAUCUGCAACGAGAUUUCAACAAAGUCUUAAUUAUCGUAUUCCGAAUCCGGAUUCCAUGAGGGAGAGAGAGAUCUCUGGGAAUCUGAAUUUUACAUCUCAGUGACGAAAAAGGGUAGGAAAUGAUCGCGUUGCGAAGCGCGUCCUCCCGACGUGCCGUCGUAAAUAAUUCAUGUAACUGGAAUCGCGUCGACAAAUCUAUCUAUUCUGCUGGAAACGCGUGCUCGUUAACGCGUGCAAAGUGCUUUCUACUCCGCGUCUGAUAGCGGCGCGGAAUUAAGAUCGCGCUGUGCAUCGCCUAGUUUGCGCCUGCGACCCUAAUCUCGCCAUUGUUCCAUAAGGAUUAUUUCGCGUUCGCGGUAGCGGUGGCUAAUUGCACGUCGCAGUCGACGCGCGUGGGAAAGCACUAACGAUUUUCACGCGUGAUCUCGCGAACGACGUCAUUUCGCUCCGAUUUGAAGAGAGAACAUUAAAGCAUUUUCUCUGUCACCGCCGAGCGUAUUUCAGAAUUUUUAGAAUUGCUCAGGAUAAACAUGUGACUCAUGUCAAUAAAUAUUCAUGGGGAUUUAAAUGCCAGAUCUGUACGUGUGCAUCUCUGUACAUGUGUGCGGAUAUCUGUGGAAUUGAAGAAAUGUAAGUGGAGAUUAACAUGUAAUACGAUAUUAAUUAUCCUUUUCAAAUUUUAUAAAAAAGUCGAAUAUAUCUCGUUUCAUGCAUUUCGUUGCAUAUUACGAACGAAAAACAUACGUGUUGAGCGAGUUUAAUAUCAUAUUAUUCCGAAAGAGAGGGAAAACCUAGUGUUCCUUUUCUGAUUUUCUGCGAAGCACGGUGGUGCGACUGUUUAGCAACAUGUUGAUAAUCUGCUCGUUGAUUUUAGAAAGACGCAACUUCCGUCGUGACCCAACGCUUAUCGUCACCGACGACCGCACAUCCUCCGCGAUUACAGGACGGGGACUCAUCGGGGAAAGACAGUUUGUCUUGAGUAGUUUGCGCGCCCGUUCUUUUCGCGGUACCUACUUGUAUGCGAUUGCACGCGCGCGAUUCGAUCGCCGAGGCAAAUUGAACGGCAUCAGGAAGUCGGUCCUCUUCCCCGUUGUUGUUUCGUCUCACAUUGUGCUCGACGUCGCGGAAGUUUCCACCGACUAAUUUGCUUCGUUUAAUUAGGUAUCGUCGUGUCCGAUUGUCUCGUACGUCGCUUCUCCUCGUUCGGAAAUGCCGGAAACGCCAGUUUUUUUCUAUUUUUUGCAAUGAGCGAUGAAUUUAACGUUUCGUUAGCACCAGUUGUUGUUAUCCGUUAGUCGCGGAAAUCGGACGACACCGCGUGAUUAAAAAUUAUUCCCGGCGCGACUGCGCUGCGAAAAUAAAUUGGAGCCCCUCUACGUUUUCCGGUUGCGGAAACCGGCAGUUUUCCGGGUCGCGCGCUGCUUUUGAUCGGAAUUGCGUUACACGCGGCGGUAACGAAAUGCGAAUACUACGCGCAAACGCCACGGAUAUUUUAAUUACCGGGCUGCACCGAACAUGGAAAUUUGCAUUCGCUCUCAGGAGUAUAACGUAACGUUGCGCCGAUAAAUUGCUCUCGCUAUUUACAAACCGCACAUUUCACAUCACGAGCAAAAUACUAUUUUUCAAAAGUCUACUUCGCUUUCUUCCCCGUUUACAUAGAUAGAUUUAUUAGCUAAAUUAAUACUGAAAAUUGAACUGUGCAUACGUGCGGAAAAUAUUCACCAACACGGAAAAAAAACACGGAUGUUCAUCAGCGAGAACAUGCCCAGCCAAAUUUCCGGGGAGCGAGGCGUAUCUCAGAUUUUCAUUUUAUUUCCGGAACGGAGAGCAGCGCGGCAUGGUUUGAUUCCGGAGCGGCGCGAUUACACGCGAUAUUAAUAAAAAUGACAAUAGAAUCGCAUAUCCGUAAUCACGACCCCGGUCGGAGCCUUCUCGUCGUGAUCUCAUCGCCCCUCCCGGUUGCCGGUGCGAUGAUUUCGCACGAGCCGAUUGGCGCAGCGAACUAAUGCGCCGGAAUCCUCCUCAUCGAAAGAGUCCUCGGCGCCGGAUGCGAUAAAACAGUUCGUCGUCGUCGCCGUCGUCCGCUCCUCUGGCAGAACGGCACCGAUAUAAGUGCGUUCACGCUGCUCGUCGAACGGACGCUGCGAGAGCACCGUGGAUAAGAGUCGCUCAAGUGUGCUAGGUCAUUGCUUUUCCCAGCGACCGAGACAGCCGAUUCGUCGCAGUCAUUGUGGCACGUCGCGUCCGAAAGAUCGUCGUGUGUUCUCCAACUCUUCAUCGCGAUCCACUCGUCGUCCUCGUCGUGGCGGGUGAUUUCAUCGAACGAGCUCUGUCCGCGCAAGCGAGCUGGAGAAGCCGAAUCUAUAUGAAGAGUCUCCUCCGUUCAGGAUUUCGAAGGAGCGAACGUUGAGAUGAGCGUGGUAUCUAGAAAAGUUGGACGGUGCGGCGUGAAGUGCGAUCGGUUUCAUAUCCUGGACUGAGCGGGAGUGCCUCGUCGGAGUGGAGACAGUUUUGAGGAGCGGUUGCGCUGAAGCAGGGCAGCAGGAAAGCAGUUACCGGAUUUGCAAAUUCCGAAUGAUUGCCUGACCGAUGGCGAUGGCUCGGCGCGUCCCGUAGGAGUGGUCGUGCUGUUUGUUGUUUGACGUGCAUGAUGCUACGUCGAUAAGGCGUGUUUAAUUGAGGGGAAAAGGGAAGUGUCGCGCUUGCAGAACCGUCCCACUUGUUGGACCAUUACCGGUGUGUGCAUACGAGAGAGAGUGCACCGCAUUGUAGUCUCGUAAACGCGAGACCGCGCUCAUUCGCGUUGGGGGCGAUUAUCACCCGAUCGCGCGAUCGUCAUCGCGUUACGAUGAGUCGCAAAAAGGUGUGGAACUCCAUCGUGCGCCGGAAGAAGAGGAAUCACCUGGAUCUGAGCUCGGGGGACGAGAGUCCCAUCUCUGGCAACGUUUCGCCAUUGUUAAGACGAGUUUCCACGCUGCCGAGAAGACAUUUCCAACAGAGGCAUACUUUGGAUUCGGAAUUGUCGUCGUUGCGCGAGCACGAUAGCGAUCGCUUCGCUGAAUGUAAGUGUGACACGUAAAGCUAUUCUCGUAAAUAAAUAACUUUGAAUACUUUAAAUAUUUUUUUCGUUGAAUUCACAAUUCGUUGACAGAAGGAAGAAGGAAGAUUCUCCUUCCUUUCGAUCACGGUGAAAUGGUUUUCCUCAUGUUUACGCGAGAAGAUCGACCGUUUGGAAUCGGGCCAGCCGUAUUUUUACACGUUUCGUACGAACGAAGCGGAAACUGCUGCAACGAAAGCCGCAAUAUAGAACGAUCUAUGUUCGCCGUUACGCGAGACGACCGGAAUUUCGCGGAUCGGGGGUAAGCAAGUUCUUUUUUUGCCCCCGAUAUAGUCGCACGAGUUGUAUUGCGGUACUCGCACGCGCAAAUUAUGACCCACAUUCGCGGGUUAUUCGCGAAAUUGAAGCGAAAAAUCGUAGGCGUCGCCACAUUUAUUUAUCCUGCACAACUCGAUGUGUAAAAUUGCGUUCAGUGAAUUAUUAUUAUUGAUAUUCGUCGACACACCAUUUUUAAUCAACAACGCCGCGAUAUUUGAUCGCCUAUCAGAUUUAUGGAAAGCAAAUAUCACGGAAUAAUGCGAAUUGCGAAAAUAACAGAACGGAACGAUCGGCGAGAGGCAGAGUCCCACAAAUGUAAUUAAAACACACGUGGAGAGCAAAAACGAGCACGCAGAAUAAAAUAAAUAUCGUUACUGAUUAAUCAUCGCCGCGUAACAACGCGGGUGCUUCUACUCUCGGAGUAAUGCGACGCCAAACCGUCGAGCAAUUUUCUCGAUUUUUCACACAGGAGUAAACGAUUCUUCGCAGAAAGAAAAAGCGAAAAGUCCGGAAAACCAUCGUUUCGCGAGACACGCGCGAGACGCACAAUUGAGGCUCGUGCGAGCAGCGCAAUCUGCGCCGCUUAUCUCGCAAGCGUUUCGCGACGUUUCGUUUCCCUGGCGGAUCCUUAGGUUUGCCAUGCGAGAUCUCGCGAUAGAGAUUAUACGCGGAUCAGGACGGCGGAAGUAGACCGAGUGCGCGUGGAAAAUCGGCGCGCGGAGGCGCGCGCUGAAUGCGGCUUUCACCGGAUUACGCAAAACGACCGGGACGUUCGAGAUGCGCGAACAAUGGCCAAGAAACACGAGCGGGCUUAAUUCGCGCAGCGAGAGGAAAAAUGCGUCCCGGUUUCUCAACGGGAAAGAGGCAACCAGCUGCAAUCACGUCAGCAGGGGGUUGGGGGAGAAGGAUAUCCUUGGCGCUCUUUCCGAAUCGUUCCUCUCACUCGUCCGUUGAUCGCGCGGAUUAAUCGUAGAAGCGGUUGCGAGGGAAUCAGUUCGCGUUAACCGACGAUACGUUAUCAUCACUACGUUAUUCUCAAAUGAUGCAGAUUGAGCACACUCGCCGCAAAUGAAUUACAGAUGCAGGUCAAAGUUACGCAGGUUGAUUCAAUUACGCUCGACUUGAAUUAAUAUCGUUAAAUUAGUGAACUUGAUUCGCCGCGGGUAACUCGCAGAUGCCGCGGACGGAGGUGACGAAUCAUAUUGCCGUUAACAUUAAAUCGAUAUCGCGCGUACGCGGUAAUUUCGUUUGAAAUAGUGUGAAAGUGACUCGCGCGCCCCUUUAUCGACGUGUUUAAUUAAUUUGAUUUGUACGUGCAGCUCCGACACGUUCGCCCCGCAUUAAACAUAUAUGACUUGCAUUAUCGAGCAUAUUGACGUAAAAUUCUCACGUAGAAGCGAAACUCAAUUGUGUGUCACGUAAUUGUACCACGUGAAAUUAACGACGUUACGUCACUUCGCGUGACACAGAAAAAAAA